rnacentral:lncRNA from 1 species
UCCUGAGGCUUGAGCUCGAACCUCCUCCAAAUGUUUGUCAUCUUUUAAUCUUCUGUUUUCUUUGAUCCCACUUCAUGAGAAACGUUUGUCAGCUUUCAUCUUCUGUUUUCUAUAAACUGUGCAGAGAUAAAGAUAAAAGCGCCGCAGCAUGUUGGGGAUCAGUAGAGCUUUGGAACCCUUCUUAAGAUGUUGACAAUACAAGAUCAUUAGUAUACUGGGUCAG